UGGUCCAUUUGUAUCUGUGGGACAAGAGAGAUCAUUGUGAACUAAUGAACUUUUCAGUGUGCCAAAUGAGAGAAGAAGAAUCAGAGAAAAUAUUUUGAUGUAGAGAGAUGCGGGAAUGUCAUCAGGCUCACCCCAGGGGAGUGGUGGGUUGGCUGGGGUCAGCAUUGGGAUCCAGGAGGAACCUGUUCUGGAUGAGUUUUGCUUCAGUGUCUGUGAUGGUCAGAUUAAGAACAGGAUAACCCAUCUGCUUGGUCCAUGUGUCCAUAAUGUCUGCCACAGGUAAGCCACUCUUCU